UUACAGAUUCAACUAAUGAGAUGUUUGAGUUGUAGAAGGUGCAGCAUGGCAGCAGAAGAUGUAAAAUUGAGUUGUGAUGAGACAGUUUAAUUCUUUAGAUAUUAAAAAUCUCAAAUGAGAAUUUUCCAAAUGCCCUCAAUAUGUCUGCAAUGUUAUAACAUGCAGAAUUAAGAAUGUACCAGUAUUGUAAUGCCAUUUCCAAUAUUCACAAGUAGUUUCUGAUUGUUAAUUUAGAUAUUUACUUAUUUACCUGAAUUUUUCAUUCAAACAUUUUUCAACAUUUUUGUUAGAUAUAUUUCAAAUUAAGAAUUUAAAAGAAAUCAAUUUUAAAUUUACACAAAAACUUAUGGUUUAGU
rnacentral:lncRNA from 1 species